rnacentral:rRNA from 1 species
GAUGAACGCUGGCGGCGUGCCUAAUACAUGCAAGUCGAACGCACAGUUUAUACCGUAGCUUGCUACACCAUAGACUGUGAGUUGCGAACGGGUGAGUAACGCGUAGGUAACCUGCCUGGUAGCGGGGGAUAACUAUUGGAAACGAUAGCUAAUACCGCAUAAUAUUGAUUAUUGCAUGAUAAUUGAUUGAAAGAUGCUAUUGCAUCACUGCCAGAUGGACCUGCGUUGUAUUAGCUAGUAGGUGAGGUAACGGCUCACCUAGGCGACGAUACAUAGCCGACCUGAGAGGGUGAUCGGCCACACUGGGACUGAGACACGGCCCAGACUCCUACGGGAGGCAGCAGUAGGGAAUCUUCGGCAAUGGACGAAAGUCUGACCGAGCAACGCCGCGUGAGUGAAGAAGGUUUUCGGAUCGUAAAGCUCUGUUGUAAGAGAAGAACGGGUGUGAGAGUGGAAAGUUCACACUGUGACGGUAGCUUACCAGAAAGGGACGGCUAACUACGUG